UACGUAGGGGGCUAGCGUUGUCCGGAUUUAUUGGGCGUAAAGAGCGUGUAGGCGGCCUGGUAGGUCAGCUGUGAAAACCCGAGGCUCAACCUCGAGACGCCGGUUGAAACCAUCAGGCUAGAGUCCGGAAGAGGAGAGUGGAAUUCCAGGUGUAGCGGUGAAAUGCGCAGAUAUCUGGAAGAACACCCGUGGCUAAGGCGGCUCUCUAGUACGGUACUGACGCUGAGACGCGAAAGCGUGGGGAGCGAACAGG
rnacentral:rRNA from 1 species